UACGUAGGUGGCAAGCGUUGUCCGGAAUUAUUGGGCGUAAAGAGCAUGUAGGUGGAUACUUAAGUCUGUUGUGAAAAUGCGGGGCUCAACCCCGUAUUGCGAUGGAAACUGGGUGUCUUGAGUGCAGGAGAGGAAAGGGGAAUUCCCAGUGUAGCGGUGAAAUGCGUAGAUAUUGGGAGGAACACCAGUGGCGAAGGCGCCUUUCUGGACUGUGUCUGACACUGAGAUGCGAAAGCUAGGGGAGCGAGCGGGAUUAGAUACCCCGGUAGUCCUAGCCGUAAACGAUGGGUACUAGGUGUAGGGGGUAUCGACCCCCCCUGUGCCGGAGUUAACGCAAUAAGUACCCCGCCUGGGGAGUACGGCCGCAAGGUUGAA
rnacentral:rRNA from 1 species